rnacentral:lncRNA from 1 species
AUGGUCCCUUAUAGGUCUUGUAUAGGCCUAUCGACGUAUACGGGCGUUGUAUCGUAUCGUAUAGUGUAUAGUAUAAGUCUAGUAUAUGGCCCCUAUAGGUCUUGUAUAAGCCUAUAGGCCUAAACGGGACCUAAACCACACCUAUAGUCCUAUACGAGUGUUGUAUCUUAUCCAAUAGUCUAGUAUCGUAUUGUAUUGUAUCGUAUCAUAUCGUAUCGUAUCGUAUAGUGUAGUAUAAAUCUCGUAUAGGCAUUGUAUGGGCCUAUGGAUGUGGGAUCGUAUCCUAUAGUAUCGUGUUGUAUCGCAUCGUAUCGUAAAGUAUAGUGUAGUAUAAGUCU